UAGGGAAUUUUCGUCAAUGGGGGCAACCCUGAACGAGCAAUGCCGCGUGAGCGAAGAAGGUCUUCGGAUUGUAAAGCUCUGUUGCCGGGGAAAAAGGAAGGAAAGAGGAAAUGCUUUUCUUUGGAUGGUACCCGGCCAGAAAGUCACGGCUAACUACGUGCCAGCACCGCGGUAAUACGUAUCU
rnacentral:rRNA from 1 species